UUACAGCCAUAUCACAUUGAAACACCGGUUCCGGCAAGAUCACAGAGGUUAAGCAACAUCGAGCCUGAUCAGUACCUAGAUGGGUUACUGCUUGGGGAUAACAUGUGCUGUAAG